rnacentral:tmRNA from 1 species
AGGGUUGAAAAACUUCAAAAAGAAGUUAUAUUAUAUAUGCCCAGAGAUGGGAGAUAAUACUGAACCUAUUCAUAGAAUAGUCAUUAUGGACCCGGGGGCGGUACCCGGCACCUCCACCACAAAUUUUGACGGGGGUGAACUAGAAUCGACAGAUGAGAUAAAGAUGAGUAAUGUAUUCGAUGUUUAUAAGUCAUCGUUAAAAAAGUAUAGAAAAAACGAACGCAAACAAUAACGUUCAAGCAAACUUGGCCAUAGCUGCGUAAGCAACUCGUCAUAAAUGCGAAAUUCCUUGGACUUAGAACCUCUAGGGUGGGGUUUUGAGGGGACCUCGCAACAGAAUCCCUCUUAA